UACGAAGGGGGCUAGCGUUGUUCGGAUUUACUGGGCGUAAAGCGCACGUAGGCGGAUCGUUAAGUCGGGGGUGAAAUCCUGGAGCUCAACUCCAGAACUGCCUUCGAUACUGGCGAUCUAGAGUCCGGAAGAGGUGAGUGGAACUCCUAGUGUAGAGGUGGGAAUUCGUAGAUAUUAGGAAGAACACCAGUGGCGAAGGCGGCUCACUGGUCCGGUACUGACGCUGAGGUGCGAAAGCGUGGGGAGCAAACAGG
rnacentral:rRNA from 1 species